CGAAGCUGGAGCAUAAUGAGUUGAAUAAGAGCAGGGUUCUCAGGAAGGGGCUGGAGCGCAUUCCCGACUCAGUGAGGCUGUGGAAGGCUGUUGUGGAAAUGGCCAAUGAGGAGGAUGCAAGGCUUCUGCUGCACCGUGCUGUGGAGUGCUGCCCGCUACAUGUUGAACUGUGGCUCGCUUUGGCUAGGCUGGAGACGUAUGAGCAGGCGAAGAAGGUGCUGAACAAGG
rnacentral:misc_RNA from 1 species